GUUUGCACUUAUCGGGGAAGGGUGAGAACCUUCGAUUAAGGUUCGACUCGAGCGAAAGCGAGAGAACGUUGCCAACGGCAACGGCCCGUAGGGUGAGGAGCGAA
rnacentral:sRNA from 1 species